rnacentral:rRNA from 1 species
UACGUAGGGCGCAAGCGUUGUCCGGAAUUAUUGGGCGUAAAGAGCUCGUAGGCGGUUCGUCACGUCGGCUGUGAAAUCCCGAGGCUCAACCUCGGGUCUGCAGUCGAUACGGGCGGACUUGAGUACUGCAGGGGAGACUGGAAUUCCUGGUGUAGCGGUGAAAUGCGCAGAUAUCAGGAGGAACACCGGUGGCGAAGGCGGAUCUCUGGGCCUUACCUGACGCUCAGGUGCGAAAGCUAGGGGAGCGAACAGG